rnacentral:lncRNA from 1 species
GACAAGGAAGUUAGCGCCGUGAACUUUACCGUCGCAGUUCCAGCAAAGACUCGCCUGAUCUGACUCGCAAUACAUUCUUGCAACACCGUCGCAUAAAUCACACUUCUUUUUCCCCAUCAGAUUCACUCUUCGAGAUUCUGAGGUUUGCUUCGGUUCUGUCUCUCUUUUGGUGUUUUUUUCUAUUUUUCUGGGGACAGAGAAAUAAUAAAGAGGAAAGUGCAAGUUGCGGGAGGAGGAUUGUCGUGGCGAGUUUUCUGUGAUUCAAUUCUUUUUUGAGGCUACUUUCGUCUUUUUAUCAGCAAAAAAAAAAUCGUUUUCUCUUCUUUGGUUUCAUAUUUGCUUCUUUCUAUUUUGUGGUCAGGAACCGUCUCGUUUUCAAUCAACUAUGCUUUCUUUUUUGUAAAGUAUUGAAUUAAUUAGAAGAAUGGUUCAAUCAUUAGCAACCUACAAUUUAUAUAAAUCAUAAUGGUGUAUUAUACUGUACUAGUUACAAAGAUAACGAACAAAGCCUCUGUUGAUUGAAGACUUUAUCAUGAAAUUGAAAUUUGUAGCGUAUGUCUUUUUUUUUCCAGUGAUGUUUCAAUCUUUAUUAGGUUUAUGUCUUGACUCAUUUUCUACUAAUCUAGACAAUAAUAAUGUCAAACGAGUUUGGUUUAGAUCCUUGGUAAUUAAAAAACGGGUCACAUCUAUUUUUGACAUUAAUCUCUGCUUUAAUAUGUACUACUAUUAGUUUAUUUAAUUUGAAAACCACUUAUUAAUGCGUUAUUACAUAUGGCCGCACGCCGUUUUAAGGUGGCGACAAACUCAUGGUUGUGUUUCAAGAUAUUUUAUAGUCGAUGACGUGGCGAAAUCUCAGCCUUGGGAAUAGGAGAGCGAGAUUCUGCUCCGUCCUACGUGGACGAAUAAGUUUCUCAACGGGCUUAGGAGCCACGUGAGCCCACCUGGGAUAUGUCCGGACCUUAAUACAAGUCUAUUGGGUCCCGCCUCAACCACUUGUUUUGUUUGUUUAUUACUCCCUCUAUUUUUUAAUAUAAGUCGUUUUACAGAAUCUUUUUUGUUUCAAAUUAUAUGUCGUUUUCGGUUUUCUAUGUAAAAUUUAUUAAUAACUAAUGUUGUAUGACCAA